UUGUGGUUAUUUAGAAUCAACUUCUACUCUUUUGGGGGUGGCUGAUUGAAUAGACUUGUGCAUUUUUCAUAUAUGAACAUUAUUCGUAGUUUCUGUUUUGAAUCGACCUGUUUGUUAUUUGUAGUGGCUAUUUGAAAUCGGCUUGUGCUUUUUUUGGGGGGAUGGAUCUUUAAAAUCGGACUUCUGCGUAUUUAAGGGGGAUGCACAGUGAGAAAACAUCGAUCUAGGUCAAAAAUAUCGAUAUUUUAAAAUUAAUUGAUUUUAAUAGUUUAAAAUGUCUAGAAAACGAAUUCCCUAUCAGAAUACUAAAAAAACUGCGCUUUAUACAUCAAUUUUGUAUUUUAAAAGUAGAUGUAUAAGCAAAAUUUUGAUGUUUUGGUUAAAAAUCAACAUUUUGUAAGCUAAAGUUGAUAAGCUAAUGUACGCUCUUAUCCCUAACAGAUGGUAUCGAUACAAAGGUCUACUUUUCUAGUUCCGAUUAUGUGCAUGGUUUCUCAUUCUAUAAAUAUAAACUUUCAAAAUACGUCACUACCUCUUUUUUUUUCCCUAUAUCCUCAUAUACACACUCACUAAGCCAUAUUUACGCAUGCGCACUAUCAAAGCUACAUUGGUAACUAUGACAACAAAAUUUACACGCAUGCGCACAUGACGUGAACCGGUCCUUCUUCUGUAAACAUUUGAAAGCCUCGAUUCAUUAUUCAAACUCAGAAAUGCCAACAAAAGGUUAUAUGUUUGGAAAGAAAAAACGUUACUGUAAGCCCAGAGGAAGACAUGCUUCAAAGACAAAUGCAUAAUUACAAAGCUCUGUUUUGGAUACAGCUGGAUCUGAAGCAGCAACAACGCAGCCUGCAAGUGCAGCUGAACGAAAAAUAAUUCUAACUGCAAUUACUAACGCUGAUAACACCAAUAAGAGGCUGCCUGAAGAUUUCAUAUACGUCAUGAUGAAUUCAAUGGAAUUGACCACAAUGGUCUCCUUGUUGUGCUGUCCACAUUGCUUCGACAAAAAAUUAACCAUGUGCAUCACACAAUCAAAAGGCAUGGCUCAUUUGAUUAAAAUCAAAUGCCUAAAUUGUGAAACAUAUUUGUGGCCUGACUGGACCUCAAAAAAAAGUAAUAAUGUUCAUCUGGAUAUUAAUGUCCGCGCUGUCGCUGCAUUAAAAGAAUCUGGAAUCUCGCAUUCUAAAUUUGAUAGGUUUUGUGGACUUAUGAGUAUGCCCUGCAUGCACAGAAAUACUUAUAACAAUCUAGCUAACAUAGUCAACACUGCUAUAAUUGAAGCUGGUGAAGAAUGUAUGAUUAGGGCAUCUGCUGUUGUGCAUGGAAGAAACAUUUCACAACCUCUGACUACAGAUGAUAGAAUAAGUUCAACAGGCUGUCCUGUUAUUACAGUUUCUUUUGAUGGGACUUGGCAUAAAAGGGGCCACUCAUCUCAUUCAGGAAUUGGCAGUUAUUGAUUUUGAUACUGGACUCGUCAUCGACACCGAAGUCCUAUCAAAUUAUUGCUGUGUUUGUGAUUCAAACUCUGCAGAACUAAAUUUUGAUGCCUCUAUGCAUAUGUGUCAAAAAAACUUCAGUGGCUCAGCAAAUGCAAUGGAGGCCGCAGCAGCAUCCAAAAUUUGUUCUCACUCUGUGGCAUCAGAAAACUUGUUUAUGGCAUGAUGCUGUGUGAUGGUGAUAGUAAAUCACAUUCAUCUGCCAUUACCAGCUCAGGAUAUGAUGUAGAAAUCUUAAAAGAGGACUGCAUUAACCACAUCUCAAAAAGAAUGUCUAACAAAAAAGAACUAAAUUAUAGGCUUACAAAGCCAAAAAUUGAAAAAAUUACAAAUAACUAUUCCAAAGUUCUGCGCCAAAAUGCUCCUGACAUUCAAAAAAAUGAAGCUGGCUGUUAUGGGCUCAUUUUUUCAUAUGAUGAGCUCAGACCUAGAUCAUAACCACAGGUUGUGUCCUGAUGGCACUACAUCUUGGUGUCACACUUUAAGAGAUCAGAGGCACUAAAACAGCCAUACAAAAAACAUAAUCAGACCAUCACAUCAGAAAUAGGAAAACUGUUAUUUCCUAUAACAGACACAGAUCUGUUAAAAACAUGUUCAAGAAUGGGAACACAAAACGCCAAUGAAUCUUUUCAUUCCCUCAUUUGGCAAAGAUGCCCCAAAACAGAAUUCGCAACAUUAAAAACUAAGGACGGCGACAUACCUUGCUGUUUUAGCCUGUUGGCAUCAGUUUUUGACAUAUUAGGCGUUCCCUGGACACUAAAGAACAUUUCUUCUAGUGAGAAAAAGCAAAAUGUCAAACUACAGCUUGUUGUUAGAAAAAGAUUAAUCACAUAAGUGUCCAGGAGAAAAAAAUUGAAAAAACGAAGAAUUGAGCAUGAGCACCGGGCAGAGGUUCUCGAAGGUCCAACCUAUCAAUCAGGCCAUUUUAAUGAAUAGUUUUUUUAUUAUCUAUUAUGUUAUAUUAUGUAAAUAUUUCCCUUUUUUUUUCAUUUUUAUGGUUGCAAUAA